rnacentral:rRNA from 1 species
AAAACAAGCUUUUAAGAGCAGAUGGCGGAUGCCUUGCCAAAGAGAGGCGAUGAAGGACGUACUAGACUGCGAUAAGCUAUGCGGAGCUGUCAAGGAGCUUUGAUGCGUAGAUGUCCGAAUGGGGCAACCCAACUAAUAGAGAUAUUAGUUACUCUAAUUAUAGAGAGCGAACCUAGUGAAGUGAAACAUCUCAGUAACUAGAGGAAAAGAAAUCAACGAGAUUCCCUAAGUAGUGGCGAGCGAACGGGGAAAAGGGCAAACCGAGUGCUUGCAUUCGGGGUUGAGGACUGCAACAUCCAAGAGAACGCUUUAGCAGAGUUACCUGGAAAGGUAAGCCAUAGAAAGUGAUAGCCUUGUAUGCGACAAGGCGUUCUUAGGUAGCAGUAUCCAGAGUAGGCCAGGACACGAGAAAUCCAGGUUGAAGCCGGGGAGACCACUCUCCAACCCUAAAUACUACUCUUUGAGCGAUAGCGAACAAGUACCGUGAGGGAAAGGUGAAAAGAACCGCAGUGAGCGGAGUGAAAUAGAACCUGAAACCAUCUGCUUACAAUCAUUCAGAGCCCUAUGAUUUAUCAGGGUGAUGGACUGCCUUUUGCAUAAUGAUCCUGCGAGUUGUGGUAUCUGGCAAGGUUAAGCGAAUGCGAAGCCGUAGCGAAAGCGAGUCUUAAUAGGGCGCUUGAGUCAGAUGCUGCAGACCCGAAGCUAAGUGAUCUAUCCAUGGCCAAGUUGAAACGCGUGUAAUAGCGCGUGGAGGACUGAACUCGUACCCAUUGAAACGGGUUGGGAUGAGCUGUGGAUAGGGGUGAAAGGCCAAACAAACUUAGUGAUAGCUGGUUCUCUUCGAAAUAUAUUUAGGUAUAGCCUCAAGUGAUAAUAAAAGGGGGUAGAGCCCUGAUUGGGCUAGGGCUGCUCGCCGCGGUACCAAACCCUAUCAAACUUCGAAUACCUUUUAUCGUAUCUUGGGAGUCAGGCGGUGGGUGAUAAAAUCAAUCGUCAAAAGGGGAACAACCCAGACUACCAAAUAAGGUCCCUAAGUUCUAUUCUGAGUGGAAAAAGAUGUGUGGCUACUCAAACAACCAGGAGGUUGGCUUAGAAGCAGCCAUCCUUUAAAGAAAGCGUAACAGCUCACUGGUCUAGUGGUCAUGCGCUGAAAAUAUAACGGGGCUAAGAUAGACACCGAAUUUGUAGAUUGUGUUAAACACAGUGGUAGAAGAGCGUUCAUACCAGCGUUGAAGGUAUACCGGUAAGGAGUGCUGGAGCGGUAUGAAGUGAGCAUGCAGGAAUGAGUAACGAUAAGAUAUAUGAGAAUUGUAUCCGCCGUAAAUCUAAGGUUUCCUACGCGAUGGUCGUCAUCGUAGGGUUAGUCGGGUCCUAAGCCGAGUCCGAAAGGGGUAGGUGAUGGCAAAUUGGUUAAUAUUCCAAUACCGACUAUGGAGCGUGAUGGGGGGACGCAUAGGGUUAAGCGAGCUAGCUGAUGGAAGCGCUAGUCUAAGGGCGUAGAUUGGAGGGAAGGCAAAUCCACCUCUGUAUUUGAAACCCAAACAGGCUCUUUGAGUCCUUUUAGGACAAAGGGAGAAUCGCUGAUACCGUCGUGCCAAGAAAAGCCUCUAAGCAUAUCCAUAGUCGUCCGUACCGCAAACCGACACAGGUAGAUGAGAUGAGUAUUCUAAGGCGCGUGAAAGAACUCUGGUUAAGGAACUCUGCAAACUAGCACCGUAAGUUCGCGAUAAGGUGUGCCACAGCGAUGUGGUCUCAGCAAAGAGUCCCUCCCGACUGUUUACCAAAAACACAGCACUUUGCCAACUCGUAAGAGGAAGUAUAAGGUGUGACGCCUGCCCGGUGCUCGAAGGUUAAGAGGAUGCGUCAGUCGCAAGAUGAAGCGUUGAAUUGAAGCCCGAGUAAACGGCGGCCGUAACUAUAACGGUCCUAAGGUAGCGAAAUUCCUUGUCGGUUAAAUACCGACCUGCAUGAAUGGCGUAACGAGAUGGGAGCUGUCUCAACCAGAGAUUCAGUGAAAUUGUAGUGGAGGUGAAAAUUCCUCCUACCCGCGGCAAGACGGAGAGACCCCGUGGACCUUUACUACAACUUAGCACUGCUAAUGGGAAUAUCAUGCGCAGGAUAGGUGGGAGGCUUUGAAGUAAGGGCUUUGGCUCUUAUGGAGCCAUCCUUGAGAUACCACCCUUGAUGUUUCUGUUAGCUAACUGGCCUGUGUUAUCCACAGGCAGGACAAUGCUUGGUGGGUAGUUUGACUGGGGCGGUCGCCUCCUAAAAAGUAACGGAGGCUUGCAAAGGUUGGCUCAUUGCGGUUGGAAAUCGCAAGUUGAGUGUAAUGGCACAAGCCAGCCUGACUGUAAGACAUACAAGUCAAGCAGAGACGAAAGUCGGUCAUAGUGAUCCGGUGGUUCUGUGUGGAAGGGCCAUCGCUCAAAGGAUAAAAGGUACCCCGGGGAUAACAGGCUGAUCUCCCCCAAGAGCUCACAUCGACGGGGAGGUUUGGCACCUCGAUGUCGGCUCAUCGCAUCCUGGGGCUGGAGCAGGUCCCAAGGGUAUGGCUGUUCGCCAUUUAAAGCGGUACGCGAGCUGGGUUCAGAACGUCGUGAGACAGUUCGGUCCCUAUCUGCCGUGGGCGUAGGAAAGUUGAGGAGAGCUGUCCCUAGUACGAGAGGACCGGGAUGGACGUGUCACUGGUGCACCAGUUGUUCUGCCAAGAGCAUCGCUGGGUAGCUACACACGGAUGUGAUAACUGCUGAAAGCAUCUAAGCAGGAAGCCAACUCCAAGAUAAACUUUCCCUGAAGCUCGCACAAAGACUAUGUGCUUGAUAGGGUAGAUGUGUAAGCGCAGUAAUGCGUUUAGCUGACUACUACUAAUAGAGCGUUUGGCUUGUUUUU